CCUCGAGUGCCAGGUUACAAAUCUGGCUGUCGAGAUGCCUAAAAAGCAUUUCAUAGCAAGGGCCGGGCAAGACCGGUGCCAGCCGCCGCGGUAACACCGGCGGCUCGAGUGGUAACCGUUAUUAUUGGGUCUAAAGGGUCUGUAGCCGGCCGGAUAAGUCUCUUGAGAAAUCUGGCAGCUUAACUGUCAGGCUUUCAGGAGAUACUGUCUGGCUCGAGGCCGGGAGAGGUGAGAGGUACUUCAGGGGUAGGGGUGAAAUCUUGUAAUCCUUGAAGGACCACCAGUGGCGAAGGCGUCUCACCAGAACGGACCUGACGGCAAGGGACGAAAGCUAGGGGCACGAACCGGAUUAGAUACCCGGGUAGUCCUAGCCGUAAACGAUACUCGCUAGGUGUCGGCCACGGUGCGACCGUUGUCGGUGCCGUAGGGAAGCCGUGAAGCG
rnacentral:rRNA from 1 species